rfam:Heterocephalus glaber contig48733, whole genome shotgun sequence.
GUCAAUGGCCGUACCACCCUGAAUGUGGCCGAACUCAUCUGAUCUCGGAAGCUAAGCGGGGUCGGGUCUGGUUAGCACUUGCAUGGGAGAAGUGCCUAGAAGAUGGGCA